rnacentral:rRNA from 1 species
ACGUAGGUGGCAAGCGUUGUCCGGAAUUAUUGGGCGUAAAGCGCGCGCAGGCGGGAUAUCAAGUCUGUCUUAAAAGUGCGAGGCUCAACCUCGUGAGGGGACAGAAACUGGUAUUCUUGAGUGUCGGAGAGGAAAGUGGAAUUCCAAGUGUAGCGGUGAAAUGCGUAGAGAUUUGGAAGAACACCAGUGGCGAAGGCGACUUUCUGGACGAUGUCUGACGCUGAGGCGCGAAAGCUAGGGGAGCGAACGG